GACACAGCCCCACCCUGCCCCUGCCCCCUGCAUGCCCAGACAGCUUGGCAUGGCCCGGACCCCGCCAUUCAAUGGGUAGCCUGCCCUCUGGCCCCUCACACAAUAGGGACUCCAGGAAUACUGUCCCCCAGGCUGAAUCAAAGGCUCUAAAUUUAGCCCAUCUGCUCCUGCGAGCUUCCUGCCCCUGCUCCCUCCUUUCCAGGCGAUGAGGUCACCCCGGAACCGCCUGCCCUGCAGCCAGGCCGGGGGUUUCCAGGUCCGGGGUGUUCUGCUGCUCUGGGGGACAGGGCCUGGAGCGUCCUCCUCCCUCCAGGGCCCUGGGGCCCCUCCUGCUCCUGGCCCGGCGGCCGACGUCCUCCUGGCCACCCCGGCCGGGCUGAGUCCCGGGAAUGUCACCAAAAUGACUUAUGGAGAGUCCAGUCCAUGCUGGCCCUGCGCCCAGGAGAGGGCAGCGGACCGGACCGGGACAGGUCCUGCCCUCUCGGCAGGGACAAUCAGCAAGUAGACCAUAAACCAACCAGACAGUGUCACUCAUGGAAAGUGGCCUGAAGGAAAUAAAGGAGAGAUGCCAUCACGCACCAGGGUGAGCGGAGGGCAUCGCCUGGAGGGGUCAGCGAAGGCCCCGGGUGACACCUGAGCCGGGGCUCGGAUGACCAGAAGAACUAUUCGAAGAUCUGGGUGGGGCUGCACCCUCCAGGCCAKCGGAGGGUGAGGCAGACGCCGGGAAGAGCCCCCUGGCUCCGGGCGCAGCUGGGGGGGGGGUGACUGCGAGGGGGCCGUGUGCGGGGCGGCCAGCGGCCCGACUCGGUUUUAAAAAGCUGUGUCGCUGGCACAUGGACAGGACCAGGAAGGACAAGAACUGAGCACCCUCAACUGCGGGCAAAGGCACCUUGAGGAGUUUCCUCCUUUAGUCCCUUCAUGAGUCACAGUGGCCCAGAGAGGAUAUGUGUCCCACAGCAGGUCAGCUGUCCCCGGAACACCGCUGAGAGUAGGUAGUAAGAGGCACUUGGUCACCUGCCUUCAGCCAGCAGCAUCCCCUCCAGGCUGAGCUAGGCUCCAUGUGGGGGUGACGGUCGGCAGAGCCCGGAGGCCCGAUCCCUGAGCGGGGGAGGUCCCCUGUCUGCGGCCGGCUCCCUCCCUCAGCACUGACCAGCUGCCACCUCCCCUCUGUCCCUCCCUGAAUGGCUCCACGAAGCUCCUCUCCCCCACUCCGCCAGGAACCCAGGUGGUCCCAGGGUGCUGGAAACCUCUGAUGAGGGUCAGGAGCAGCUGGAGGAGCCGGGGCCAGGAGAGGUGGCGAACAUCUACCCAGUCCAGAUCCACGGUGCACGGGCACUGGCUCCGCCAGGCUGUGGCAGGAUGGCAGGAUGGCAGGCGGCUGCAGAACGGCGGAAGCCACCGCGAGGUCAGAGAAACACGAAGCUGGGCGCCGGGUGACCCCAGAGUGUGGAGGACACCGGGCGUGUGGGGACAGGAACGGGCACCAGACUGUGGCACGUGGGCCACAGUCCCGCGUCCUGGGCGAGGCCAUGUCCAGGCCUGGGGCCUGUGUGGGCUGCAACCUUGGAAUUUCUCAUAAGCAAGAGCGUGUGACCACCGACACCUGCCUCUGCAGAGCCAGCUCCCGUGGCCACGGGGGUCAGAGGAGGGGCCAUCAGAAGGUGACAGGUGACAGGCACAGGUGACAGGCCCAGGAAAGGUGAAGGGAGGCCUGGCUGGAGAACUGAUUUGGGAGGACUCUGUGGCCAGGUGGGAGUCUGGGCCUGGGGCAGCUGCCCAGAUCUAAGAAGGGCCUCCUCAGCAGAGGCCAGGAGAAGUUGCGGGGGGCCGGGGGGCUCACAGACACACACACAAGUGCACACUCACAAGUACUGAGCACACUCCUGCUCACACAUACAAGGAGGAGAGCAGGCCAGGCCCAGAAGGACGGCUCCGAGGCAGACGCACGAGGUCCAGGCCGAGGCCUGCUUGGUCCCUCUUCGCUGCCCAGGAGAACCCCCUCCAGGCUGCCCAGGGGAGCCGCGGCUGGCCAGGGUGGGCUGGCUGAGUGGAGCGCGCUCCGUGGCCCCUGAGGCUGUCACGGGAAGCAGCACUUGGUUCUCUGGACGCUGGCCUCUGCAGCCCCAGGCGGCCACUCUAGGACACUCAGCCGCCCACACAGUCCCAAGUCCAGCCACUGACCACAGCUGUGUGAGACCCCAAGCCACACAGCCUUGCUCAGCCCUUCCUGACUUCCUGACGUGCAGAAGCUACGAGAACAAGCUGCUUCUUUGCCCAGAGCAGGGCCUGGCCUGCCAUGCAGCUGUGAGUGAGUGGAUGGAUGCAUGCAUGACUCAUCUCACCCCUGAUGGUGACAGGGUGACAGGGAGAGCGCUGAGCCUUUCAAGACAGGUUGCUCACAG